UACGUAGGGUCCGAGCGUUGUCCGGAAUUAUUGGGCGUAAAGGCUCGUAGGCGGCCAACUAAGUCAGACGUGAAAUCCCUCAGCUUAACUGGGGAACUGCGUCUGAUACUGGAUGGCUUGGAUUCGGGAGAGGAAUGCGGAAUUCCAGGUGUAGCGGUGAAAUGCGUAGAUAUCUGGAGGAACACCGGUGGCGAAGGCGGCAUUCUGGACCGAUAUUGACGCUGAGGAGCGAAAGCCAGGGAGCAAACGGG
rnacentral:rRNA from 1 species